CGUUGCGGAGCACAGGUUCCGGACACGCAAGCUCAGUGGCCAUGGCUCACGGGCCCAGCCGCUCCGCGGCAUGUGGGAUCUUCCCGGACCGGGACACGAACCUGCGUCCCCUGCAUCGGCAGGCAGAACACUCAACCACUGCGCCACCAGGGAAGCCUUUCUCCCUCACUCUUACUCAACUCCUAAAUAACUAAGAGAAUAUGCUCACAAAUGAUUCUGGGGUCACUUUGAAGCUAUGUGGACGUGCUAGAGAUGUGGAAGCUGGAAAAGCGAAGCAACCCAGUCCCCUAGUGAUGCCCUUCAGCAGCUGGACUAACGCUAGAGGGACUAUCUCCAAACUUCCUGCUACCCAUGGAAAGUAAGAUGUUGACUGAGCCUCAGAGGGGUUACAAAAGCACCUAAGAUCCCUUUAUCAGUACAUGACGGAAAUCAGUUCAAAUCCAGCCUGUCUGACUUGUUCUUAAUCACUAAGCUCAAGAGAGACUAUAUUCAUCUGUGUUAAUCACUGCUGUGUUUCCUGAACAUGCCUAUACAUCAUACUGAAGAAUGGUGCCUGAAAUUUGGUAAGGGAUCAAUCAAUUUUCUUGGCUGGAUGAAGAAAUGUGUUCAUAAAUUAAUGAACAGAUCUUCGGGGCUUCUGACUUGAGGACUAAUGGGAAGAGGAUGGCAAACGGUUGGGACAGGGUACUGCAAGAAGUAAUAUUUGGAGUACUCUGAUAGCUAUCCUAAAAGAUAAGAUUGUGUUCAUUUAAGUAGUUCUAAUGAGAGAGCUGGGAACUAGGGACACACAGCAUUAAGGUUUUUAUAAUGCAUUCUGUAGAGUUCUUUUUAAGUCUGUACAAAUAUCACUGAAAAUGUAUGCAUACAUAUACACCUCUGUUACUUUACUUAGCGCUUUACGAGAGUCCCUCAAGGAAGGGGUAGUAGCAACUCUCAAUAUCCUUCCUUUAUGAUGAGCUUAAUUUAUUCAAAGUUACAUCAUAAUUUAUUUGUAACUGUGAAACUAGACUUAGUUAUUGAAUAGACCCUCCCUAGAAACGUAUGACAUUAAUAAAACCAACAAAACUUUGUUCAGUUUCCAAUGAUAGACACACUACAGACUCAAUUAUGGGCCAUCCAGUUUAAUGAAGGGAAGAAGUGAUUGAACAAAUAUAGAGCAAACAGAAUAUGAAGUUUUAUCCUCCAUUAACAUUAGUAACGGAUAGUGUGGGCUCCAAUGCCUUCAAGAUAGCUUGAGACCAUCAUCUCUGUGUCAUGGGCAGGGGGAUGUUCAGCCAGGAUGUCUUUCACUGUCACUGAGAAAAAUUUCCAUAAUAUAUAAUGAUACCUACUGAAACUGAUAUGGGGCAUUUGGGUAAUAAGGAAUCCAUUAGCAUAUUUUUCCGGAAACCUUGACUACAAAACGAAGACAGUAGAUUUGGACACUUUCAGCCAUGAAGAAGUUGUUUGGAUAUUCAUCUUUAUGCCUAAUGAAAUAAGCUUAUUUCAUCUCUGCAGCUUCCCAUAUACCAUUUUCCCACCUCUGUUUUAUGUUUGGAAAGACUUUUAGAAAUUGAAAGUCAAGUUAAAAAGUUAGUGACAACUUAAAUGAUAUAUGGAAUAUUUUGCUGACUUACAAAAGCAUGCAGAAUUAAAUAUGACCCAGUUCAAAUGUUUAUUUUAACGUGUAUGUUGAGGUGGCGUUUUCAAGGUGCCAGAAAAUGAGAAUUCACCUUCCAGUGUGUGUUACCAGUUCUGUUCAUUGCACAGAAUCAUCUUCAUAAAACAUAGUGUUUUCUAUGUACCUGGUAUAUAUCUCAAUUAGUUUGAAGAAUUUCUC